UCGGCCAGCGAGUCACAUCCCAGCAAGGGGGGCGCGUCCACUGUCCCCUUCCUCAACUCAGAGGCCAGGACACAACAGCGGGAGCCAAGUGGGGCCUGCUUGGGUGGGAUUCGAACCAGCCACCUGUAAAGGACAUUCUGAGACCUGGGGGGAGGCUUGAGUGUGGGCCAGUACUAGCCCUGCACGGGAUUUUUGUUAAUUUUGUUAGUCUUUCAAUGACGCUGUAGGUAUGUAAGAGAAAAAUGCCUUUAUCUUAGCAAGAAGGCGUUUGCAUAAAAUCAUAAGACAUCUUGGACGAUGCUAAAAUGCUCCAGGAACAACUAAAGUGUGUGUGUGUGUGUGUGUGUGUGUAAAACAAGAUGGCAAAACGUAUACGAUUGAAACCGGGUGAUGGAGUUUCCACGAUUCCCCCACUUUUGGUCCUGGAGAUCCUUUGGCUAUUUCCACAGCUCACCUAGAAGCUUGUUAGAAAUGCAGAGCCUGGGACCCAGCUCAGAUCUCCUGAAUCAGAAUCUGCAUCUUCACCAGAGCCCUGGAAGAUACACGUGCACAGUGAAAUUCGGACUACAGGGCAUCUUUUUUAGUGGCUACUAUGGCUCUUGUGGGCGAGGAAAAAGUUUUCUUCCACCCCCUUAGGUCUGAAAGUUAAACUGACAAAGACAGAUUAAUGAGAUAAGCAUACACAUUUAUGAAAUAUAUUUUACAUGAAAUGGAAACCUUCGAAAGGAAAUGAAGAUCCGAAGAAACUGUUGGACCUGAGUGUUUUCAUGCUGUGUUUGAUGAAGAAUGGAGAGUCGUGGAGGGCAAGGUCAAGGAGUAGGAGAUGUCCUCCAAACAUUCUAAGUUUCCUGGGCCUGCGAGGAAGUGACUCACCCGGUAAAGUUGCUGGAAAC